AUCCUGUGGUGAGGACACUUUCUGAUCAGGUCUUUGAAUCUUUUUUAGGCUUCAUAUAGAGACUCAUUGUCUUGUUGGAUGAAGUUGUUAAUUUCUUAUCUUAGUCU